AUGUGUUCUUAUCAAAAGUGAAAAAAACGAAAUUGAUUCUUUUAUCUUUAAUAACAAAAAUAUACUAAAAAAUGAAUAUUAUAUUUCUUAAACAAACCCCACCAUCACCAUUUAGAAUAUCUAAAUAAAUAGAAAAGAGAUCUGUUCAAAUAAAUCAAACUAAAAACUAAGAAGACGUAGUGACGUCUCAAGUCAAACAAGUGGAAUCCAAAAUAGAUCACGCCCUAGGCCGUGUUAAAAGUUGCAUCGUGAUUCAUUUUUUUAUCCCACAUUUCUAUUGUUAUUGUUUUUUUAACCACGUUACGAUGCAUCGCUACAUCCCUAGUCAAGUGAAAUUAAUAGUAACACAUUCAUUAAGUCUGACCAAUGUGUCAUUAGAAUCAAUUCAGGUUAAGGGCUCACUAUAAACAGCUAUGAUGUUAUUUCGUGGCUGAUGAAGGUGUUUCAACCGUACUGAAUUUGGGAUGGAACGGGGGGGGGGGGGGGGGGUGCAGAGAUGGAGGUCCCAUUCUGGGCCAAGCUUAACAGACUUGCCUUGGACCAAAUCCCAAAACCAUCUUAACCAGUAGAGACCCAAUCGUGUCGUGUGUUGCAAGGCCUUUUCCUCAUCAGGGCUAUUAUUACAAAACCAGACCAGGGGUGUUAAACAUUCGGCUCGUGGGCCAGAACCGACCGUCCAAAAGGUCCAAUCUGGCCCACUGGAUGACUUUGCAAAGUGUUAAAAUUGCAGAGAAGUAAUUCAUUCCAAUUCCAAAUUUACCACUCCAAGUUCAGAGAAUAGCCAAGUUCUUUUUCCUUUAUUUUUUCCUACAAUGGCCUUAGAACGCUGUCAUAGCAGAAGCAACUUGCGUUUGCCAACAUCAAGCUGACAAACUCUGGGACAGAUAAAGGUUCUGAUCAGUCUGGAGUGGUUUACUGGUCUGGCCCACUUGAGAUCAAAUCAUGGGGUAUGUGGCCCAUGAACUGAAACGAGUUUGACACCCCUGACGGAAGAUUGCCUUAUUGCAUGUUUUGGCGUGGAGCUGUGGCACAGGACAGAUGUGGUUACUGAUACUGAAAACCAUUUUCAGAACUCCACAGCAAAAAAAAAGAACAAAAGAAGAAGAAAAAAAUGGACUGAGCUUACUUUGUACAGGUGCUGUGAAGUGAAAAAUAUGAAGAGGGAGUUCAGGGAGGAUUAUUUUCUUCUUUUUUUUAUUCCAAAUCCUGUGAAAAGGACAUAAGGGACACAUGAGUGAAACAGGGCAGAGGUGAGCUAAGUAGUCAUAGCAAUACUUUGAAACUACUCUGUACAUUGACUUGAAAUCCUACAUUAGUGUUGGUAAUAG